rnacentral:rRNA from 1 species
AUUGAACGCUGGCGGCAUGCUUUACACAUGCAAGUCGGACGGCAGCACAGAGAAGCUUGCUUCUUGGGUGGCGAGUGGCGAACGGGUGAGUAAUAUAUCGGAACGUACCGAGUAAUGGGGGAUAACUAAUCGAAAGAUUAGCUAAUACCGCAUAUUCUCUGAGGAGGAAAGCAGGGGACCUUCGGGCCUUGCGUUAUUCGAGCGGCCGAUAUCUGAUUAGCUAGUUGGUGGGGUAAAGGCCUACCAAGGCGACGGUCAGUAGCGGGUCUGAGAGGAUGAUCCGCCACACUGGGACUGAGACACGGCCCAGACUCCUACGGGAGGCAGCAGUGGGGAAUUUUGGACAAUGGGCGCAAGCCUGAUCCAGCCAUGCCGCGUGUCUGAAGAAGGCCUUCGGGUUGUAAAGGACUUUUGUCAGGGAAGAAAAGGCUGUUGCUAAUACCGACAGCUGAUGACGGUACCUGAAGAAUAAGCACCGGCUAACUACGUG